rnacentral:rRNA from 1 species
UACGUAGGGGGCUAGCGUUGUCCGGAAUCAUUGGGCGUAAAGCGCGUGUAGGCGGCCCGGUAAGUCCGCUGUGAAAGUCCAGGGCUCAACCCUGGGAUGCCGGUGGAUACUGUCGGGCUAGAGUACGGAAGAGGCAAGUGGAAUUCCUGGUGUAGCGGUGGAAUGCGCAGAUAAUCAGGAGGAACACCUAUAGCGAAGGCAGCUUGCUGGGACGUUACUGACGCUAAGGGCGCGAAAGCGUGGGGAGCGAACAGGA